GAUCAAACCCUGUCAUCUCAAUGGGCGCCAUUGUUGACGUGUUUUGAGGCUUUCUGAUAUGGGUGUUAAGUGGCUAUAUGCGCCGCAUCUUAGUGGGAAUUCGUUAAAGAGAAAGUGAAGGAGAAACUUUUGCUUAUUUACCCUCUUCAAACGAACUAAUCGCGGUAAUGCGGACAGGGCGAGCAGUCCCCCUCCUACCAAUUGCUACGAAAAUUCACCUGUUGACACUUUCGGUAUUUGGUAAUCGUUUUUGGACUACAAAACUACCUUUGAAGGAACGCGCUCGCCUUUGAUCUCGUGCCGCGAGGCUUUGCAUAUCCAAUUAUAAGCUCGCGGUGUAUUCCACAAUAGUAGCAAGGACAUUGUCAUAAGAAUUAGGGGAGAUUGACGCUUAUUGGUGAUUUUUUUGUGUGCCAAAUAUUGUGAAUGAAAAGGUGUUUGGGUGGACGGAUGAGAGUUUUUUCAAAGGGAGGGGGAGAAGGACCACCCCAUAUCUUCGUCAUUUUACGUGGACCCUGUGGGUCUCGUGUCGCUUAAAAGAACAUGUCACACGAGAACUUGGACCAGAAGAGAGUCUACGUCUAGAAAGGUCAGUCGAGGAACACACCAGAUCUAGGCUUGGUCUAUCAUCACUCAUCAGCAAACUAGCUGAGUUAUCAAUUUCUUCAAGAAAGCUGAACCAAUAUCAAACUCAAGGAAUUGGAAACACUGACACUGUCACCGCAAAAAGUCUGCCUCAAUAAGUGAAACAAAAGAAAACGGAACCUCCCAGUCGAAUUUAAUUCAAGCAAAGUCUCUUGCCUUUUCAAUCGAAAUCGAGGUUUAGUAGCAGUCAAUCGAAAUCAAAUUAAGGAAACAAAAGCACGCUUCAAAAAUUGUCAAAGAGAUCUAUCAAUGACAAUCAAACUCGGGACAUUGGUAAUCUCUUCAGUGUGUUGAGAUGCCAUCGAAGAGGUGUUGAUAAUCGAACCAUUUGACACGUAUCAAGGAAAGAAAAACCGACGCGAGGUGGAGCGAACCUUUAAGUUAAGGCCAUUUUGAACGUCAAUCAUUGAGCAGACAACACUGAGUCGACUAUUUCGGAAGUGGCGCGCGGAUCGGAAUGAAGAAAAUUUUGGAGGCGCCACAGUUUGCGAUGGAAUCCGCUGUGUGUUGCACGCCGGUGACGCCUCGAACAAUGGAUGCGGACAACAGGUGGAAUGCGAUCGUCCCUCCUCCGGAGCGGCCACGAGAUGACUCUCCGACGAGCCGAGAGUCCUCCGCUGCUGGCAGUGUAGAGAAAUGCAGCGAUGCGAUGAAUUCUGGCUCUUGGGUGAGCAUUUCGAGAGCAGAUGACGCCAGGACGAAAAACAAGGAGCAAGAUCUCACAAGCUUGCUCAAGACACACGUUCUUAACAGGGAUGAACAGACAGAUAAACCAGUGAGAGUUAGUGGCCACAUUUGGAGGCCUGCAAUAGACGGAAAUGACAGGAAAACGUCGAAAGACGUUGACGAGCCAGUCUCAAAAGCUGCUAGAAUUUGGAGACCCAAUGACGAUCAGCUCGAAGAGCAAGAUUCAUCACGGUUCGACGGCGACGACUUUGAAAGUGAUGAUGACGAGAAUCAAGAUGAAUUCAGAAACGAUGUCGGAGACCAACCGACAAAGAGAAAGCAACGUCGAUAUCGGACCACCUUUACCAGUUUUCAACUAGAAGAAUUGGAACGCGCCUUCUGUAAGACCCAUUAUCCUGAUGUAUUUACGAGAGAAGAAUUAGCAAUGAGAGUAGACUUAACCGAAGCGAGGGUCCAGGUCUGGUUCCAGAAUCGGCGAGCGAAGUGGAGAAAAAGAGAGAAGCUCGGCUUACAACCACGACUCCAUCCACAUCCAUCGUUUUGCCCUAUCAUCGGUGGUCCGAUCACGGAUUCGAACCUUGUAUCUUCUCAUCUAUGCCGUCUUGCUUGCAUCGACCGCGUCCAACGGCAAGGGUUACUGGCGUCACCGCCGCCGCCAGCACAACCACCACCACAUCCUCUGCCUCAAUUUACAACCUCAUGUUUGCCGACGGCAACGUCGACCACCGUCUUAUCGGGGUCCCUACCGAGGCCUACUUACCAGCUUCCUGCUCAUGGACUGCUACCACUGCAUCAUGCUUCUCCGGUCGCCGCGGCAAGCAUGUUAUAUCCGACGCCAUUUUGUGAUUUUUGGUCCAAGCAGGCGAGUCUCGCUUCCACGAGGAACUCACAGUCACAAUCAAACCUCGCUCAUCUCGGUCCAGCACUGCUCACACCGUGUUUCCCGGUCCCACGGAAGUACCAGGACCACGACCCAUCAAUGCCAGCGAGUCCUGGACUCAUCAGUAGAGGUAGCCUGGGCCUGGACCCGUUCGGACCGAGUUCUAAGAAGGGACUGAAGCAAGAUAUGUGGUUAAGGAGCGAACGACGAGCGUUAAGCAUCGCGGCACUUCGAUUGAAAGCUCGUCAACACGCAGCGGGUGUCGAACCUGUCGAACGCAAAGGUGUCCCCGUGAACCCAUAUCAUGGCGGUUUGAUCCUUUUCAAUUCUGAGUGAAGAAUCCACCUGAAAAGCAAAAUAUAUCCUGUGCAUACAAUACCUAGUCAAUGAAUUUAACUUUACCAUUGAAAUCCUCGAUUUUGAUCGGCUGUUGAGCAGUAAUACAUUGACAAUGACCAUCGGAUGGCAACUUUAUGAAACAACCACCAGGCCCAGAUCCUUUCCUUCAGAUCUUUACAUCAUAAGAUAUUAACAAGUUUACACUAUAAGAGUUGAUAUCGGUUGGUGUUUAUACCAAAGAGCGUUAUAAUUACCCCCCCCCCUCCCCCUCUUUCCUCAGGCUGUUAGUGUUAACCAUAAGCAUAUUGAGAUACUCCUUUAAGGAUUGACUCUCGGUUAGGUUUUUGACCCCCUAAUGUGGGCUUUUGGAAGUUAGCUGAAGACCAUCACAAAAUGAUUGUCAUUUUGAGUGCAUUCAUUAAAGAUAUAUCCUGGAGCCGCGCCUGCGUUAUCACUAAUCUUUUAUGUUCGAUGUUCCCUCAUAAUUAUAAUUACCCUUUCUAAUUCGAUCUAUAACCAAGUUAUGAAUAUUUUCUGCUUUUCACUAAGCUUUCAUUAUUUUGUUAAUUGAAAUUGAAAUUCUUGCAAAUAUGUAAAUGUAUGUAUAAAAUUGAAUAAAUGAAUUUAAUUUGAUUGAAUUUUGCCAAUUU